GUUCCAGACUCCUACGGGAGGCAGCAGUGGGGGAUAUUGCACAAUGGGGGAAACCCUGAUGCAGCGACGCCGCGUGAGCGAUGAAGUAUUUCGGUAUGUAAAGCUCUAUCAGCAGGGAAGAAAAUGACGGUACCUGACUAAGAAGCCCUGGCUAACUACGUGCCAGCAGCCGCGGUAAUACGUAGGGGGCAAGCGUUAUCCGGAUUUACUGGGUGUAAAGGGAGCGUAGACGGCGAGGUAAGCCUGAAGUGGAAGCCCGCGGCCCAACCGCGGGACUGCUCUUGGAACUGCGUGGCUGGAGUGCAGGAGGGGGAGGCGGAAUUCCUGGUGUAGCGGUGAAAUGCGUAGAUAUCAGGAGGAACACCGGUGGCGAAGGCGGCCUGCUGGACUGCAACUGACGUUGAGGCCCGAAAGCGUGGGGAGCAAACAGGAUUAGAUACCCCCGUAAA
rnacentral:rRNA from 1 species